AGUCGAACGGAUCCUUCGGGAUUAGUGGCAGACGGGUGAGUAACGCGUGGGAAGCUACCUUGUGGUAGGGGACAACAGUUGGAAACGACUGCUAAUACCCUAUGAGCCCUAUGGGGGAAAGAUUUAUCGCCAUGAGAUGUGCCCGCGUUAGAUUAGCUAGUUGGUAAGGUAAUGGCUUACCAAGGCGACGAUCUAUAGCUGGUCUGAGAGGAUGAUCAGCCACACUGGGACUGAGACACGGCCCAGACUCCUACGGGAGGCAGCAGUGGGGAAUAUUGGACAAUGGGGGCAACCCUGAUCCAGCCAUGCCGCGUGUGUGAUGACGGCCUUAGGGUUGUAAAGCACUUUCAGCAGUGAAGAUAAUGACAUUAACUGCAGAAGAAGCCCCGGCUAACUUCGUGCCAGCAGCCGCGGUAAUACGAAGGGGGCUAGCGUUGUUCGGAAUCACUGGGCGUAAAGAGUACGUAGGCGGACUGAUAAGUUAGGGGUGAAAUCCCAAGGCUCAACCUUGGAACUGCCUUUGAUACUGUCAGUCUUGAGAUCGAGAGAGGUGAGUGGAACUCCGAGUGUAGAGGUGAAAUUCGUAGAUAUUCGGAAGAACACCAGUGGCGAAGGCGGCUCACUGGCUCGAUACUGACGCUGAG
rnacentral:rRNA from 1 species